CUCCGGUUUGCCCAGGUAGGAUCCCGGUCUUUUUUUUCAACGGAGCGCCCUACCGGCCCGUCCCGUCUGCUUCGCAGUGGGGGGGAACAAAAACGUACCCCCUGGGACCCCAAAAAUGGGGAACUUUGCCUGAGUAGGACCAAACCCAAGGAAACUCUGGGGGAAAUCCGUAACGGUUCUGACGUGCAAAUCGAUCGUCCAACUUGGGUAUAGGGGGGAAAGACUAAUCGAACCCUCUA
rnacentral:rRNA from 1 species